rnacentral:rRNA from 1 species
UACAACACAGCCAUGUCACCUUGCAGCUCAAGUCUGGUUACUCACUGAAGCUAUUUAGGGCUGAGCCUGGACAGUAUCUGGAUGGGAGACCACAUGGAACAACUAGGUUGCUGUUGGAA